rnacentral:rRNA from 1 species
UGUGUUUGUAAGUGUUUAAAGGGCGCAUGGUGGAUGCCUUGGCAUCGAGAGCCGAUGAAGGACGUGGGAGA